ensembl:lncRNA
GUACUGCCUUUAGCUAAGGAUGUUACUAUCUUAUUUAUAUUACCUUCUGUGUAGUUAUUUCAUUUAGGCUUUCUCUGAGGAAGGAAUGGCCAAAUUGUCUGAAAGGAACAUUCUGUUUCCUGAAUAGGAAUUUCGCGGCCACAGCUUAUCUCAGCAAGAAUCAUAUAUUUGUGACGACAUGAGCCAGAUUCCCAUACUAUGUAAUUUUACUGGAAUUCUCCUGCAGUAACUUAAUGCUGACCUUAUGAUUCUUUCUAUGAUGAUAUCCUACAGUCUCCUCUUUGAGCUUGGAUGCUGGCAAGAGAAGCUCAAGUUGGCUGAACAAUACAGGAUGAAAGUUUGUAAGUGGGGAAGGCCCCGCACAGAUUUGGAAAAACUCAGAAUGUGUUUUCAGAAGGGGAUGGCGAAAGUUCCCAAAUUAUUCAAAUUGAGUUCACUUAGAUCAUUGGGACUGUAUUUAUUGAUAUUGAGAGUGCUAAUCAAUAGGAGUUUGGAACCCUAUUUCAGGGGGCUCACAUUGGUGGUCCGCAUACACUAGAGUAAGAACCUCUGAUCUGUCAGAUGCUCCAUUUACAGAUAAAGAAACUGAUGGGAAUCGACUUGUUCAAAGUCAUGUGGUCAAUAAGCAUCAGAGGCAGAAUUAGAAUCUAAUUCUUAUAAUUCCUAGGUCCUUUCUACCAAGCCCUGUCCCAGGAAGCCAGCAUCCUGUCCCCUCUCCAUGGCUCCAUUCCCACUAACGGCUCUAGGGCACACUGGAACAGACAGAAACCGUUGGCAUCUAGUGCACGUCUUCUUCAGGAGCCCAUCCCCUUGGUUCCAAUCAGGAUUAGGUUCCUCUUGGCUGGAGGAAGCUAAGCCUGUCAUGAUUCCUCCUUUUUCAUUAGUCAUCUCCUUGACCUCUCUCCCUUUCCCAGGACCCUGGUCCUCAGGGUCAUCAACAUUGAUUUGUGCGAGAGGCCGAGUCCAGCUGACUUCAGUGCUGGUCAAAAGCCCAGGAUGGGUCCAUGCAGAGGCAAAAGGAAACUUGGCUGGAGGAGGCAUGGGGAUUUGAACACAGUGUGAACCGGGAAGGCUGCUUCAGCCCAACCAAACACCAGCAAACUGCACCCAGCACAGCAGAGCAGCUACACCCAGGUCAAGUGAUGGGAGUGGCAGGACUCUCCCACUGCAUCUCUCCUGACUGAGCUGCCCAACAGCAUCUCCAGAGACUGGGGCUUAGAUACGCGGAUAUGAUGCUCUGGCACCUUGAGUGGUAUUGUGCACUGGCUGGAGUAUGGAGACCAGAAAGACCAGUUCUCGGGGUGGAAUAAGUGAUGUGAAGUAUGGCAUCUGGGUCCCUGCCCAGCCCAUGGGCCCAGAGAGGAAGGCCCAGGCCACAGAAAGGCUAUCCUGCAGCCCUAGGUGAGGGGAGACUUGGCUUCUCUCAUCCUUGGGAUGAGAUUUUUUUUUUUUAAGGAAGAUUAGCCCUGAGCUAACAUCUGCUGCCAAUCCUCCUCUUUUUGCUGAGGAAGCCUGGCCCUGAGCUAACAUCCGUGCCCAUCUUCCUCUACUUUAUACGUGGGACACCUACCAUAGCAUGGCUUGUCAAGUGGUGCCACAUCUGCACCUGGAUCCGAACCUGCGAACCCCGGGCCACCGAAGCUGAACGUGCGAACUUAACCGCUGCGCCACAGGGCUGGCCCUGGGGUGAGAUUUCUUAUACCCAACCAGCGGUUCCAGGCACCGAAACUUACUUAGGUAAUAGGGCUUUGGUUUUUUAAAGAAGAGAUGACCCCAACUUAAAAAAAAACAGCUUUAGUUUUAGUUUUGUUUAAAAAAUAAAGUCUAAAAAAUAAGUCUAAAAAGCCACCCAGGCUCAGACCCAACUGGUAUUUUUUUAGAAAUUUUGACUGCUGAAGUUUUGUGUUUCAGAUUUUCUUGGUUACAAUCUAAAUGUUUGAAUAAUAAUGGUGAUGAAAAGAUCUUUCAUGCUGAUCGUGCUUGGUAUAUGAUAAUCUUCACAAAAAUCAAGGAAAAAGCUCAUAAUCCUCACAAAAAUGUAAUUUUAACUGAUGAAGACACUCCAAGUUGGAGAAGGUGAGUGAUUCUCCCUGUGAGAAAGCGGCGGAACUGGGCUUGCAACUGAAGCCUGCUGUUGAGACAGCUCUUUUCAGGACUCUGAAAGUGGCCCCCCGCCAGCCGUGCACUAUUUGCCUCGAACCCUUUUUAGGAGGCGGAAGGGUACAAAUACACUAAUACAGCAUUAGUAUAUGGGUUCAAAAUUGUUAGAAUUGCAUCAGACCCCGCAGCCUCGACAUAUUUUUGUUUCGUUUAUCUCAUUUGUUCUUUCCCACUAAGUCACUGUGUCCCUAUAUUAUAGGAAAAGGAAGUUCCUUUUUAUAGGAAGCUCGGAUGGUGACUUGCCCGAGGCCACACUAAUAGCAAGAGGCAGAGAGUAGACUCCGAUCUCACCCCCAGCUUGGGUUCCACAUCUCUCUCCGUUGUGUCAGGUUGUCCUUCCCUGUAACAACAAUUAUGGAGCAAAUUGUAGAAAUUGGCCACCAAGGGACCCCACUCCCUAGGUCCACACGCUUUGCAACAUGACUUGCUGCUUUCCAUCAAGACGUGGAGCCUCUCUCCCCAUCCACUGAGUGCAGCUGGCCUUGGGACUCGCUUGGACCAGUAGAAUGUGAAGGAAGUGCUGUUCUGAGGUUUCCAAGCUCAGACUGUAAAGCGGCUUUCCGGCUUCCACUUUUCUUCUCGGAACCCAGCUGUCACGUAAAGAAGUCCAGGUUAUCCCGCUGGAGACAGAGGCCACAUGGAAGAGAAAUAGGCACCCCAGCUAACAGCCAACACCAAGGCCCCAGUCGCAUGAAGGCUCUCGCCUUUGCUGGAUGGGUAGCCAAGGGUUAGGGCACAGCCUGUGGCCUCCAAACAGAAGACAAGGAGAUGAGGGCCCGGCUCACAUUCACAACUGGCUGUGCAAACCAGCCGCAGACAGCAGGCAGCACUUUAUGCAGAGGGGAGGCCGUGUGGAGACACUGGAGGAAGAUGGCCAUCUAUAAGCCAAGGAGAGAGGCCUUAGAAGAAACCACCUCACCUUGAUCUUGGACUUCUAGCAUCUGAAAUUGUGAGAAAAUAAAUUUCUGUUGUUUAAGCCCCCUAGUUUGCGAUGUUUUGUUAUGGCAGCCCUAGGAAAGUAUACAACUGAUAAAACCAUUCAAGACUUUUGACUCCAUAGUUUCGCUAGUAAGCAGUCCCCAGAUCCCUUUCCUCAGCCCAAAGGAGCAGGAUACUGGUAGAGAUGAACUCCUGCCUGAUAGAACCGUGGAUCUUUUUGGGCAGAGGUUCUUAACUAGGGUAUACAGAUGAAUUUCAAGGAUUCCUUUUGUGUGUGUGUGUGUACUGUUUUUUUCACUUUUCUACCAAUAGGUUCCAGAACUUUCGCAAGAUUCUCAAAAGGGUUUAUGACUUUCCAAAGGUUUGUAACCACCAUUUUAGAAUUCAUCAUGUAUUCUAGGCCUCUUUACCUCAGUUCCAGCUGGGCAUAGAGUGUACCUAAGGAUUACUGACCAUGCCUGUAGCUGAAAUUAUCCAUUUAUGGAGCUCUUGUGUGUGGGGCUACCCGUGUGCUCUGAGAACACACAAAAGCCUAGAGAACAAAGGGAAGGCAUUUAUUUAGGUGUAUGUUAAGUAUAAGGCACUGUGUUAGGCAUAGAGAUGUAUGAGGAUGCGUGAGGAAAUAUCCCUAACUUCCUGUGUUGAGAGAGCAACAAACAGACAUUUUCUGAGUUUCAUGACCCAUGGUGGGUGCUGCCUCUCUUUGACCGAGGUCAGACAGAUACUCUGCUGUUCCUGACCCUGCAAACAGCUGUAAGCUUGCCAAGCCUAUGGCCUCCACAUGGGAGGCCACCCUCUUCACAGGAGUAUAUUUGUUUAAGGAGCUUCAUGACUGAGUUUGGCCUCAGGAGAUGGCCUGGAGAAAAGAAGGAAAAAACCCCAACCUGAUAAUACCAAGUGCUGGUGAAGAUAUGGAACAACUGGAACUCUCAUAUGUUGCUGAUAGAAAUGCAAAAUGACAUAGCUAUUCUGAAAAAAGUUUGAUAGUUUUUAUAAAAUUGAACGUACAUUUACUAUAUGACCAUCAAUCCCAUUCCUAGGUGUUUGUGCAAGAGAAAGGAAAACAUGUUUACAUUAAAUCUGUAUGCAAAUAUUUACAGAAUCUUUAUUGAUAAUAACUUGAAAAUGCAAACCACCCAAAUGUUCUUCAACUUGUGAAUGGAUAAACAAACUUUGUUGCAUUCAUACAAGGGAAUAGUAUUCAGCAUAAAGAGAUGAACUAUUGGGGCCAGCCCCGUGGCCGACUGGUUAAGUUCAUGUGCUCUGCUUUGGUGGCCCAGGAUUUCGCCCGUUCCGAUCCUGGGCGUGGACCUAGCACCACUCAUCAAGUCAUGCUGAGGCGGCAUCCCACAUAGCAGAGCCAGAAGGACC